CUUCUUCUCUUUGCUCGGAGACGCUUGGAUGUGAGAGCAAGCUCAUCUCGAGGUUUCUGACUUCCUACGAUCCGCUAUGCCGCUUGGGCUUGUUCGAGCUGUGUUGUUCAUUUUUCUUUUUCGGUGUAAGGAUAAACUAUGUGAUUCUGCUAUGAAAUCCCCACAGAUGGCGCCAAAUUGUUUAGCUCAAAGUUUUCAUUUACUUU
rnacentral:lncRNA from 1 species